GGCAUGUCUCUGGCCUUUUUGUUCUUAAACACAUGAACAAGUAUGAUAUUAAAGUCAAAGUCCUAAAUAAAGUUGCAGGUGUAGAUCUAAUAAUGGGAAAUGUUUUCAACUGGGGCCGGGGAACGAUGUCAAUAUUAUGAUUUCAAUUUCAUGAUGAAUGGGUUGACGAUCUAGAUCAGCUACAGUAUUGGAAGGGAAAGGUGCGGCAGCUGCCGAUUGUCUACUUUCACUUUCACAAUAAUCCGACAGUAUUAAUCGAUGUUGAUUACAUGUACCUCCGAAUCCUGCUGGGUUUCAACGGUUUUUGAUGA